UACGAAGGGGGCUAGCGUUGCUCGGAAUCACUGGGCGUAAAGCGCACGUAGGCGGAUUGCUAAGUCAGGGGUGAAAUCCUGGAGCUCAACUCCAGAACUGCCUUUGAUACUGGCGACCUUGAGUCCGGGAGAGGUGAGUGGAACUGCGAGUGUAGAGGUGAAAUUCGUAGAUAUUCGCAAGAACACCAGUGGCGAAGGCGGCUCACUGGCCGGUACUGACGCUGAGGUGCGAAAGCGUGGGAGCAAACAGG
rnacentral:rRNA from 1 species